rnacentral:rRNA from 1 species
UACAGAGGGUGCAAGCGUUAAUCGGAAUUACUGGGCGUAAAGCGUGCGUAGUCGGUUAUCUAAGUCGGGUGUGAAAUCCCCGGGCUCAACCUGGGAAUUGCAUUCGAUACUGGAUAGCUAGAGUUCGGCAGAGGGAAGCGGAAUUUCGGGUGUAGCGGUGAAAUGCGUAGAUAUCGAGAGGAACACCAGUGGCGAAGGCGAGUCUCUGGACGACUCCUGACACUGAGGCACGAAAGCCAGGGGAGCAAACAGG